ACCACCCUUUGGAAGAGGAAGAAUCUACAAUGGAAUUUUUUUAAUCCUGGUAACAAGGCAGGUCAAUUGUGACUGAAUGUGCAAAGCUGCUUUAAAAGUCUGUCAUUCUGUAGCUGGUCAUUGUGGUAUUUCUUUUGCUUAUGCUGGAGGCUACUGUCAGAAAAGUUGAGGAGAGGGAGUGCUAGAGUGGGCUUGAUGGGUACCAGCUGUCCAGCCACAGUCAACCCACCUCAGCAUGCAGGUGAACACUAUUCUGUCUUUCACCUUGAUGUGCAAAACAGCAUUUCAUGGUAGGCAUGCAUGAUUUCACCUCUCACUGGCCAUGGACAAGAAAGGGGGCUCCCUUCCAUUCUGAGGUUUUGCUGACUGGAUGAAAUGUUACAACUAUGUAUAGACAGACAGAAGUAAAAUAGACCAUUUAAUGUUAUAAAUGAUAGAUUAUAUAUUCAACACCAACCUG